CGGGAGGCAGCAGUAGGGAAUCUUCCACAAUGGACGAAAGUCUGAUGGAGCAACGCCGCGUGAGUGAUGAAGGUUUUCGGAUCGUAAAACUCUGUUGUUAAAGAAGAACAAGUGUUAGAGUAACUGUUAACACUUUGACGGUAUUUAACCAGAAAGCCACGGCUAACUACGUGCCAGCAGCCGCGGUAAUACGUAGGUGGCAAGCGUUGUCCGGAUUUAUUGGGCGUAAAGCGAGCGCAGGCGGUUUUGUAAGUCUGCUGUGAAAGCCCUCAGCUCAACUGAGGAAGUGCAGUGGAAACUACAAAACUUGAGUACAGAAGAGGAAAGUGGAACUCCAUGUGUAGCGGUGAAAUGCGUAGAUAUAUGGAAGAACACCAGUGGCGAANGCGGCUUUCUGGUCUGUUACUGACGCUGAGGCUCGAAAGCAUGGGGUAGCGAAACAGGAUUAGAUACCCUGGUAGUCCAUGCNGUAAACGAUGAAUAAUAGGUGUUGGAGGGUUUCCGCCCUUCAGUGCCGCAGCUAACGCAUUAAGUAUUCCGCCUGGGGAGUACGACCGCAAGGUUGAAACUCAAAGGAAUUGACGGGGGCCCGCACAAGUGGUGGAGCAUGUGGUUUAAUUCGAUGCUACGCGAAGAACCUUACCAGCUCUUGACAUCUUCUGCCAACCCAAGAGAUUGGGCGUUCCCUUCGGGGACAGAAUGACAGGUGGUGCAUGGUUGUCGUCAGCUCGUGUCGUGAGAUGUUGGGUUAAGUCCCGCAACGAGCGCAACCCUUAUUAUUAGUUGCCAGCAUUUAGUUGGGCACUCUAGUGAGACUGCCGGUGAUAAACCGGAGGAAGGUGGGGACGACGUCAAAUCAUCAUGCCCCUUAUGAGCUGGGCUACACACGUGCUACAAUGGAUGGUACAACGAGUCGCGAAACCGCGAGGUCAAGCUAAUCUCUUAAAGCCAUUCUCAGUUCGGAUUGCAGGCUGCAACUCGCCUGCAUGAAGUUGGAAUCACUAGUAAUCGUGGAUCAGCAUGCCACGGUGAAUACGUUCCCGGGCCUUGUACAGC
rnacentral:rRNA from 2 species